GCAGGUUUUGGAGUGUCACUUUCAGGUUCUUUCCAACCUGGACAAAGGGACCUUGAAGCUGCUGGCUGAGAAUGAGCGGCUGCUGUGCUUCUCACCAGCUCUGCAAGGCCGCCUUCGAGCUGCCUAUGAGGGCAGUGUUGCCAAGGUAGUAACCCCAGCUUAGUUGCCCACUAGCCUGGACCUAACCCUUCCUAGCUUUCAUAAAUUCAGGCAACCCUGCUGACGACACUUCAGUGUAAUGUGAGCUAACUCUGGGCAAGAAUAAGAGGGAGAAGUUUUCUCAGCAUGACCCUGCAGUUCCUAACGUUCCUGCUGUAUUUUAGGUCUCUCUGGUGAUGCCUCCCUCUACUCAAGCUGUCUCCUUUCAGCCAGAGACUGACAAUCGUGCCAACUUCUCCAGUGACCGAGCCUUUCAUACUUUUAAGAAACAGAGGGAUGUGUUUUAUGAGGUGCUGCGAGAGUGGGAAGAUCACCAUGAGGAGCCUGGCUGGGAUUUUGAGAAGGGCUUGGGCAGCAGAAUCAGGUGGGUGCUCAGACCUUGUCUUUCUUGUUCCUGGCAAUGAGUAGCUCAGUGCUUGCUCGGUGGCAGGAGGGAGGAGGAGGGAAGGCUUUUCCCCACUCCUACCAGCCAUUAGCUGUUUUCUUCUAUCCUCCGAAAUCUCUUUAGUUAUUGAUAACUCUGCCUCUACUCGAAAGGGAUGUGUCUCUCCAGCUCCUUCCACUCACAGGUGUCUUAUCCUUGUUCUGUAGUGGCAAUUGCUUAGAAAGUCCAAAGCUCUUAACCCAGGUUGCUUGAGGGUUUUUUUGGCCCAAGUCACUGGUUAGACACAUCCAGCCUCCAUCUUCUCCAUCGUCUAAUUUGGGCAAGUCUGGUCACUGUGUACGUAGAUGCCUGGGUUCAGAACGCGAACCUCAGUCCAGUCAUCUCCCUUCACAUUGCUCAUGAAACCCGCCGCCUGUUAGUGUGGCUGAAGACGGUUGGGGGGUGCGGUCGCAUGAUUUCUUGUUUGGUUAAGUGCACUUCUAGCCUCGGAGGACCUUGGUGCUGAGGGAGUGUCCCUUUGCAGGCUGGCUCUGGCUGAGGUCUGCUCAAGUCCCUGGUAAACGGCUGGGAAGUCCAGGGGUUGGCUGCUUCUCUCAGAUCUUUCUCCCUCUCCCUCCUUUCCACACCCUUCAUUCCUGCCUU
rnacentral:lncRNA from 1 species